GACGAACGCUGGCGGCGUGCUUAACACAUGCAAGUCGAACGGAAAGGCCCUGCUUUUGUGGGGUGCUCGAGUGGCGAACGGGUGAGUAACACGUGAGUAACCUGCCCUUGACUUUGGGAUAACUUCAGGAAACUGGGGCUAAUACCGGAUAGGAGCUCCUGCUGCAUGGUGGGGGUUGGAAAGUUUCGGCGGUUGGGGAUGGACUCGCGGCUUAUCAGCUUGUUGGUGGGGUAGUGGCUUACCAAGGCUUUGACGGGUAGCCGGCCUGAGAGGGUGACCGGCCACAUUGGGACUGAGAUAGGGCCCAGACCCCUACGGGAGGCAGCGGUGGGAAAUAUUGCACAAUGGGCGGAAGCCUGAUGCGGAAACGCCGCGUGCGGGAUGACGGCCUUCGGGUUGUAAACCGCUUUCGCCUGUGACGAAGCGUGAGUGACGGUAAUGGGUAAAGAAGCACCGGCUAACUACGUG
rnacentral:rRNA from 1 species